rnacentral:lncRNA from 1 species
UGCAGGGACCGCCUGGUGCCCCAAGCUCCUUAUGGCCCUAGUGAAUCUCUCAGGGAUGGGUAGCUGACAACCAAGCAAAUCAGAGUCCUCUCUGGAACUUGUCUGGCAAAAUUCUCAAGGAGGAUCCACUCUGUACGUGAAGGAUAUUAUGAGUGUAUUUGUAUAUUUUUAAAUAUGGACUUCGCACUCUAGAGAAGCCUGGAAGAAUGGAGGAAGAGGGGAGUGCUUUACAACUCCAUCCAUCUGUGAUGGUUAAUGAAGAAGGAAGAAAGAAGAAGAAAGAAGAAGAAGAAGAAGAAGAAGAAGAAGAAGAAGAAGAAGAAGAAGAAGAAGAAGAAGAAGAAGAAGAAGAAGAAUCUCACAGAGCUGAGGGUCUGAGAUAGAGGGACCAGGGCUGCAAAGAGGCAAAGGUGGAGAGGUCAGUUCUACCUGGUAAUGUUUCAAGAGAACUCUUCCGAUAAAAGUGUGAGCUGAGUCCUAACAAAUGAGUGAACUCUUUAUUCAUUUAUCUGUCUCCCCAGGACAGUGUGGUAGUAGUAGAACAAAACAGAGGAACUGGAAAUAGACCCGCCCAAACAUGACCAUGUGAUUUUUUACAAAGGUGCAAAAGCAAUUCAAUGGAAGAAGGAUGAUCUUUUCAACACAUGGUGCUGGAACAACUGGAUGUCCAUAAACCAACAAAAAGAAAAAAAAUAACUUUGGCGUAAACNAAAAGCAAUUCAAUGGAAGAAGGAUGAUCUUUUCAACACAUGGUGCUGGAACAACUGGAUGUCCAUAAACCAACAAAAAGAAAAAAAAUAACUUCGGCGUAAAGCUCUCACUUUCUAUAACAACAAUGAAAUUCAAAUAGAUGAUACUCCUAAAUGAAAAAUAUAAAACUUUAUUUUUUUUUNCUCACUUUCUAUAACAACAAUGAAAUUCAAAUAGAUGAUACUCCUAAAUGAAAAGCAUAAAACUUUAUUUAUUUUUUUUUAAAUUAUUUAUUUAUUUAUGAUAGUCACACACACAGAGAGAGAGGCAGAGACAUAGGCAGAGGGAGAAGCAGGUUCCAUGCACCGGGAGCCCGACGUGGGAUUCGAUCCUGGGUCUCCAGGAUCGCGCCCUGGGCCAAAGGCAGGCGCCAAACCGCUGCGCCACCCAGGGAUCCCAAAACUUUAAAGAAGAAAACAUAGCAGAAAAUCCUUGGAAUCUGAGGUUAGCAAAGAGUUCUCAGGGCCCCAAAGAUUAAAAUUGUUAAAUUGGGCUUCAGCACAAUUUAGAAGUUUUGGUCUGUGAAAACAGUUAAGAAAAAGACAAACUACGUAUCUGAGAAUCACAUAGCUGACUGAGGGGCCUUGCAUCUAGAAUAUAUCAAGAACUCCCAAAAAUCAGCAAGGAAGCAAA